AGCUUCAUUUGUAAUAGCCCAAAACUGGAAACAACUCAAACGUCCAUCAGCAGAUGAAUGGAUAUAUUGUGGCACACCGUCCUGCAGAAUACUCGACAAUAGAAAGGAACUACUGAUACACUACUGGGCGGAGGACCUGAAGACAUGAGGUUGAUGCACAGGUCAAAGAGAAGAUACUCACCAUCGCUGAUUCACACAAAAGCGUUUCUCCAAGUGGUUGCAGAUGACAUGAUUUCCUGAAGUGUUACAGCUGAUGUGUGUUUCCUUGUAUACAUGUACUGUGGUUCCUUUAUCGCUUCAUCUGUGGAUAGACAGGUGCAACCGUGUGGUUCCCCAUGAUAUGAUUUCAUUGUGGUUUUCUGUCUGAAGAGUAUCCCGGUGGGAACAUGUGGAACAGCUUCUUUCUUCCUUCGUCUGUGGAUAAGCAGGUAGGUUGAUGCUUACACUGGCUCUUGGGAACAGUGCUGGAAUCCACAUGGGUGGGUAGAUCUAUGUUUGGUGUCCUGAUUUCAAUGACUUUGAGUGUAUUCCUAGUAGUAGAAUUGCUGGUUGAAGUGGUAGUUUGAGUCUUUUAAGGUUUGGAGGAACCUCCAGGUGGUUUCUGUAUCGUGUGUGCUAGUUUAACCUUCUCACGAACUGUGGAGAAGAGUGUCUCUCUCUCUCUCUGGAAACACACCAGCAUUUCCCUUUCUUUCAAUGUUUUUUGUCUUCUUUUGUAACACUCAUUCCAAUUAGAAUGAGAUGGUGUCUAAGUGUGGUUUUGAUUUACAUUUUGCUUGUGGUUAGUGAUGUUUGCCAGGUUAUUGUGAACUUGUUUCAAUUUGUUGUGUAAGACUGGGCAAAGGACCUGAAGACCUGAGAUGGAUGCACAGGUUAAAGAUUCUGAAUCAACAUUAUUGAUCCUCAUGAGAAGUCAAUCAAAACCACACUGAGAUAGCAUCUGUCUCUGGUGAGAAUGAAUGUUACCAAACUAGGACAGCAGUUUCAUUGUCGUAUCGUCUGUGUGUAUAACCAGCGACUGCAAGGCACAGUUUGAUCUGCGUAAACAUAGCAUCAUCAUGAAGUCGCAGUGUCUGGCAUCUCUGUGAGCUCCAGACUUAUGAUUUCUCUGUGGAGAGAAUAUUCACAACUGACCUUUGUAGCUGUUUUGAAAAUUGUGGUUUUUUGUUCUUGCCUUUUGGCAUAAUGGCCUACGGCUCUGUCCAGGUUUCUGGUAAGAGCAUGGAUUUGUUUUUUAUGGCUGUGUAGUGUUCUAGUGUGUAUGUACCACAUUUCCUUUCUCUGAUCCACUGCUGAUGGGCACCCAGGCUGAUUCCAUGUCUUUACCAUUGCAAGUAGUACUUCCGUGAACAUACGAGUGCAUGCGUGUUUUCACUUGAAGGGUUUUCCUUUGGGUAGAUCCUUAGGAGUGGGGUUGCAGCAUUGGGUGGUUAUUCUCUUUUAAGUUCUUUCAGAAAUGUCCACACUGCUCUCCAGGGUGUCUGAACUAGUUUCCAUUUCCCCCUACAGUGAACCUGCAUUUCUUUGCUCAUCUGCCCCACCAGCCUCUGUUGUUGUGGACUGUGUGUGUCAUAAUUGCCAUUCUGACUAGUGUGACGUAGUAUCGCAGUAUGUUUUGAUGUGCAUUUAUCUGAUGAUCAGUGAGAUUGAGCAUCUUUUCAUUCUCAUUGGUUACUGAUACACCUCCUUUUAAGUGUGUGUUCGUGUCCCUUGCCCAUUUAUAAAAUGGGUUUUUUUUUCUGAUUUUAUUUGUUGAAGGUCUUUACGAUAAAUCCUGGAUAUUAGAUGUUUUUCACAUGCGUAGUUGUGGAAUAUUUUCCCUCAUUCUAUAGGCUGUGUGUUGACUUUUUUGGUUGUUUCUUGUGCUGUGCAGCUGCUUUUCUGUGUAUUAGGUCCCAUGUAUCUGUAAUUGCUCUUGAGGAGUUGACACUUAAAUGCUUUGCCAAAGCCUAUGUUGAGAAGGGUAUUUGCUAGAUUCUCACGCAGGAUUUUCUCAUAGUUUCAGGCCUUGAAUUUUUAUGUAUUUAUCUAUUUAGAGACUGAGUC